GGCGGCGUGCUUAACACAUGCAAGUCGAGCGGAAAGGCCCUUCGGGGUACUCGAGCGGCGAACGGGUGAGUAACACGUGAGUAACCUGCCCCUGACUCUGGGAUAAGCCUGGGAAACUGGGUCUAAUACCGGAUACGACAUCUUCCGGCAUGGGAUGGGUGUGGAAAGUUUUUUCGGUUGGGGAUGGGCUCGCGGCCUAUCAGCUUGUUGGUGGGGUAGUGGCCUACCAAGGCGACGACGGGUAGCCGGCCUGAGAGGGCGACCGGCCACACUGGGACUGAGACACGGCCCAGACUCCUACGGGAGGCAGCAGUGGGGAAUAUUGCGCAAUGGGCGGAAGCCUGACGCAGCGACGCCGCGUGGGGGAUGACGGCCUUCGGGUUGUAAACCUCUUUCAGCAGGGACGAAGUUGACGUGUACCUGUAGAAGAAGCGCCGGCUAACUACGUGCCAGCAGCCGCGGUAAUACGUAGGGCGCGAGCGUUGUCCGGAAUUAUUGGGCGUAAAGAGCUCGUAGGUGGCUUGUCGCGUCUGCCGUGAAAGCCCGUGGCUUAACUACGGGUCUGCGGUGGAUACGGGCAGGCUAGAGGCUGGUAGGGGCAAGCGGAAUUCCUGGUGUAGCGGUGAAAUGCGCAGAUAUCAGGAGGAACACCGGUGCCGAAGGCGGCUUGCUGGGCCAGUUCUGACGCUGAGGAGCGAAAGCGUGGGGAGCGAACAGGAUUAGAUACCCUGGUAGUCCACGCUGUAAACGUUGGGCGCUAGGUGUGGGGGACCUUCCACGUUUCCCGUGCCGCAGCUAACGCAUUAAGCGCCCCGCCUGGGGAGUACGGCCGC
rnacentral:rRNA from 1 species